ensembl:lncRNA
GUAUUGUGCAUCGCAGGAGAGAGGCGUUUGAUCUAGCGUUGGAAACAGGAACUAAAUGUAAACAUGCCAAACGCCUGCAACCCGUGGGAAAUCAGCCCUGUGAGGAUGUGGCAGGACACAUUCAGAAUAGGAUGUAUCACACGCUUCAAUGGGCCUACUACCGUAAGAGGUACAUUACUGCACAGGCUAGGCUACUGACCCAGACGGCAUCCCUAGCCGCGUCCUCAGAGCAUGUGUGUUUACGGACAUCUUCAAUCAAUCCCUAUCCCAGUCUGCUGUUCCCACAUGCUUCAAGAGGGCCACCAUUGUUCCUGUUCCCAAGAAAGCUAUGGUAACUGAACUAAAUGACUAUCGCCCUGUAGAACUCACUUCUGUCAUCAUGAAGUGCUUUGAGAGAUUAGUCAAGGAUCAUAUCACCUCCACCCUAGCUGUUACCCUAGACCCACUCCAAUUUGCUUACCACCCAAAUAGGUCCACAGACGAUGCAAAUUCCAUCGCACUUCCCUAUCCCAUCUGGACAAGAGGAAUACCUAUGUAAGAAUGCUGUUCAUUGACUACAGCUCAGCAUUCAACCCCAUAGUACCCUCCAAACUCAUCAUUAAGCUUGAGACCCUGGGUCUCGACCCCACCCUAUGCAACUGGGUCCUGGACUUCCUGACGUGCCGCCCCCAAGUGGCAGGAAACAACAUCUACACUCUGCUGAUCCUCAACACUGGAGCCACACAAGAGUGCAUUCUCAGCCCUCUCCUGUUCUCCCUGUUCACCAACGACUGCGUGGCCAUGCACACCUCCAACUCAAUCAUCAAGUUUGCAGACGACACUACAGUGGUAGGAUUGAUUACCAACAACGACGAGACAGCCGACAGGGAGUGUGGUGUCAGGAAAGUAACCUCUCACUCAAUGUCAGCAAGACAAAAGAGAUGAUCGUAGACUUCAGGAAACAGCAAAGAGAGUACCCCCCUAUCCACAUCGAUGGGACAGCAGUAAUAAUGCCACUUUAAGAAUGUUUACAUAUCUCACAUUACUCAUUUCAUAUGUAUACCGUAUGCUGUAUCCUUCACUAUCUAUUCUUUACUAUCUAUUGCAUCUUAUCCACUCUGUCACUGC